UACGGGAGGCAGCAGUGGGGAAUAUUGCACAAUGGGCGCAAGCCUGAUGCAGCCAUGCCGCGUGUAUGAAGAAGGCCUUCGGGUUGUAAAGUACUUUCAGUCGUGAGGAAGGUGUUAAGGUUAAUAACCUUAGCAAUUGACGUUAGCGACAGAAGAAGCACCGGCUAACUCCGUGCCAGCAGCCGCGGUAAUACGGAGGGUGCGAGCGUUAAUCGGAAUUACUGGGCGUAAAGGGCACGCAGGCGGUUAAUUAAGUUGGAUGUGAAAUCCCCGGGCUUAACCUGGGAAUGGCAUUCAAGCUGGUUAGCUAGAGUCUUGUAGAGGGGGUAGAAUUCCAUGUGUAGCGGUGAAAUGCGUAGAGAUGUGGAGGAAUACCGGUGGCGAAGGCGGCCCCUGGGACAAAGACUGACGCUCAUGUGCGAAAGCGUGGGGAGCAAACAGGAUUAGAUACC
rnacentral:rRNA from 1 species